GGAGAGCUGCAUGCUCAACCUGCUGCUGUCCCUGCCGGAGGCCAACCUGCUCCCCUUCCUUUUCCUUCUGGACCACCUGAAAAGGGCCCCAGGGCUGAUGGUUGCUUUGGGUCUACAGCUACGUCUUACCCGCCUCCUGGCUCGAAAGCCUGUGUGGUGGCAAAGCCGGUGCGGGGCUGGGGAACACGGCGUUCUCCAGGAGGGGGACCCGGCUCUCCUUCUGCAAUGCAGGCAAAGGCCUAGAUGCCAGUGUGACCUCCCACAAGGCAUGGCUUCCAGACUCCCCGACCAGAAGUGAUGCUUUUUUGCCUCGGGCCCUGGGUUUGAAGCAGCCUGGCUUUCUCUCGGUAAGUGGCUGGUGUCUUAGCAGCUGCAAUCUGAGCUCAGCCACCUACACACCACCGUGGGGGAAAGAACUGCCGACACUUUCAUUAAAAAGUUUCCUGAGACGA